AUGGAAAAGGCAGCUCAGGUGGCCUUAGAAUGCAUCUGCGCAGAUUAUAAUAUUUCUAUCAAUGACCAUAAUUACUACGCCCUUGAAGUAACAAAAGAAAGGUUGUUUAUAGCAAGACAGAAAGCUCAGACAAAACAAUGGCAAUUCAAUAUGGCCCACCAGCAAGCAACUACACAGCAAAACGAGUUUGCAAGACAGACAAUGAUUUCGGCAAAGAUAUGCAGCAGCUUCUUUGAUGUAUUACCACUUCGCAUGUAUCCCAGCGCCCAGAUAGCGAUGAUCCCAUUAUCACAUACAUGGGCGCGCAUCCUCCCGUCGGACGUGUGCAGGAAUUAA
rnacentral:rRNA from 1 species